UGUGUUACAUUUUUUUUUACCUAGGUGUGUUGUGUUUUUUUUUAUUUGCUUACGACAAAGGCCUAGUCUGUACGUAGGUUUUAGUCAUAUUCGAUCCCUCACCAAUGAGAGGCCCUCGGAGGCUGCCAAAUUAGCCUAUCCAUAAGGCCUGUAAUAAUUUUACAGUACCAACUGAGGUAAAUUUUUAUUUUGAGGCAGCUUGCAUAUUCACGGAAACUGGGACAAAUCAGGACACGAAUCUCGAAAACGGCUCUAACCUUUUUCCUAGCUAUACUGUUGUUCAGUGUUUCCCAAAUUGGAGUACGCAUAUCCCGAGGGGUACGGAAAGGGUUUAAAGAAGGUAACAAUAUAUGAGAAGUUCAAUAUCAAAACGAUGUGUACACUAGCAAAAGUUUAUGUCAUUGUCAUCGUAUCAUGCAUAACAGUGUGUCAUCAAUUAUGCCUUGCUUCCUGUCCGGCUGGAAAAAAACUUUCUAGCAACGCCACUUGCGAACCAUGUCCGCACAAUUCAUACAUAAGUGAAACCAACCACACCCACACCUUAUGUAAUGAUUGCACCAAAUCUGCACCCAGCUUUGCUGAGUUAUGGUAUCCCUGCAAUGCAACUCAUAAUUCAGUGUACAGGUGUAUUAACAAGACAUUUAAUAGCAAUGGUCCCGACAUAUUGUGCCAGCCAUGUAGAACAUGCACUAAUUUGGUCAGAAAUUGCACAUAUGAUCAAGAUUCCAUCUGCUGUUUUGGAAAAAACAUGAUUUUAAAAGAACUCAAAAGUGAGGAAACCUGCAUAAAUAUAUCCUCAAACUACCAGUAUUGCUGCAUAGACUCGGAGCAGACAACAGUAAAAGAUGAUGUCACACAGAUGAAAACACUCACAGUACAAGAGCAUACUCUCACUAAGGACAAUACAACUUUAGCAAAUAAGUUGGAACCAAAUAAAAGCAGUGAUGAUCUUGAUGCUGGAAAAAUCAUAGGCAUUAGUGUCAGCUGUGUUAUCGUUAUUGCUAUAAUUAUAGCAGUCGUCGCAUGUGUGUACUGUAAGCGACAAAGAACUAGACAAAGAGCUAGUCAAGUCAGACGAAAAAAUGAAGGUAAAACGUCAGAGAGUCCAUUUCUCUAAUUGAGCGAUAAUGUUAGACAGUUGUCUUAUAAUUAUGACGAAUUUGUAACAUCCUUAAAUGUAAUAACUAAAGCAUUAUCAGUCGGAAUUUCAAAUGUCUAUGUUUUUUUUUUUUUUUGUACAUUAUCUUUAUUCAGUCGCUUAUAAUGUUUGAACACAGAUCUUAAUAACUGCUGCAACGAUUUUCGAAACAAGAAUAACAUAAUAAGCUCAUAUUUAGCGUAGUUGUAUCAAUUACUUUUUAUUUGUCAAGCAAUUAUAUUUGUAAUUAAUCUAGACUAACAAUAAUAACUCUGUGCGAUUGAAAAUAUUUUUACCAAUUUUUUUUGGUUUAGCGCAAUUUCAUGUUUUUAGAUUUCUCAAUACGCUAUGAUUCUAUCACUGUCCAUUUGUCUUGACCAGUUGGAAAGGGUUGGAAGGAGAAAGAACGCAGUAUCUGGAUGAUCGCUUUGCUUUUUAUUUAUAAAAAGAAAGAUGAACGCCCAAUUUCGAACUCGUGGGCUAAAAUUUUCUAAGGCUUUUUAGGCCAGCACGGUAACCACUCUGAUAGCGAAGAGCUUAUGAACAUGGAAGAUAGUACAUUUAUCUAUGGUUUCCUCCUAUUUCAAGUCUGUGUUCACUAAACCUCAGAUGACGACCUAUAAAGGGGACUAAUUCAGCUUAUACCACACUUCAGUCAAGUAAAAUGUUCCCCUUUAUUCAAGAUACCAAACAAUAUAAUUAAUUACCAAUAUUUAAUAAACUUUUUUUUUUAAGUGGGGUACGCCUAACCCCAGGGUCACGGGAAGACUUCGGAGGGGGGACUCGUUGCACCUUACUAACUAUGCUGAUUUUUUAAAUACACAUUUAUUAUGUUCUGUUAAGGAAUUAAAAUAUGAGGUGGGGAAGGCGAUGGGUACUCUGAAUUACAAAAAUUAUACACGGGGUAGCUACUCAUAGGUCAAAAGUUUGGGAAACACUGUCUUAGUCUGUCAACCGUCUCUCUCCAUUCCUCUCUGUCCUUAGCUUUGAAUAGAAUGUCAUUCAAUGACAGGCCUGUCCCUUCUUUUAUGUUGUCUUUGCGAGCCGUGAGGACCUUGUAAUGAGGCCGUAGUGUCAGAGUUUUAUGACAAUGUGUCAUGUAUCAGUUUUAGAACCCCUGUAAUAUUUGAUGACUAGUGGUCACUUAACUAUUGCGGUCAGGAUGAGAUUUUUGCUCGGACAAGUGGACACCUCAGUUGUUCUUAGACUCUCAGAGCGAGAGGAUUGCUAUGGAUAUUUUUUGACAGCAGAGUUAUGUAUUAGUAUUGAAGUAUUGAAGUUAUUAUAAUUGAUUUGAAUUUGGGAUUUUUUCCUUGGAUAUGUAUAAUGUGUGAUGGCUGAAGGUGCCAAUAUCUUUUGUGAUUUGUUUCUAUAUGUAAUAAAAUCCAUGUCUGCUGA